rnacentral:ncRNA from 1 species
ACGGUGCCACUGCUGUAAUGGCGGAGGGUAAAAGGGAAGCGGGUGCGAAUCCCGCACGAUCUCGUCACUGUGUUAGACUGCGAGUGAUCGCAAAGAGCAGCAAAAGAAUCCGGAAGGUUUUCCUUUCGAUGUCACUGGUUCGCAAAUUCGGUUGAUUCCGAAGCCGGGAAGGUUUUUGCUGAUCGUCUUCAGCCAGGAAACCUGCCGUGUGUC